UACGGGGGGGCAAGCGUUGUUCGGAAUUACUGGCGUAAAGGGCUCGUAGGUGGCCAACUAAGUCAGACGUGAAAUCCCCAGGCUCAACUUGGGAACUGCGUCUGAUACUGGAUGGCUUGAAUUCGGGAGAGGGAUGCAGAAUUCCAGGUGUAGCGGUGAAAUGCGUAGAUAUCUGGAGGAAUACCGGUGGCGAAGGCGGCAUCCUGGACCGAGAUUGACACUGAUGAGCGAAAGCCAGGGGAGCAAACGGG
rnacentral:rRNA from 1 species